AAUUGUUUUGGAUGUGUGGAUGAAGGCAACUCACAAGGAGAGAGAAGAUAGAAGCUUUGUGUCUGAUGCCACACGGUUAGCCAAGUGAUCCUGGGCAGCAUCUCCCUACAUGUCAGCUUUUAUUAAUGACAGUGGCUCCUGACCCUUCAGGAACGAGGAGUGAGAAAGAACAAAGAGAAGCCAGAAAAAAGGAGGCCAACAUUUCAAAAAGGAAGAAUGAAAUAAAAUUAUUCCCCUUGAAGUAGAUGUUAGUUAUAACUGAAAACAUCUUUCCUCUGUCUGGCCAGCUGUUUCAUUCUUGUCACCAUCCAAACAGCCAACCAAAUCUUUCAAGGGAGCUUCAAAGAUUUUUCCCUUUCACAGGCAUGGUUCUGCGCAUUCUGCAUAUGCACCACCACACAAACGACCCUACAGAUUGUACACAUGGCGUGCUCCCUGUAACUCCAGGCUUCUCUAUCAGUAGUGAAAUUACUUGGAUUAUCAUCAAAUGCACAGGACAUCAACUACCUUAAGUAGGAAUGAUCUGAAGUGUCAUCUGCAUUCUAAAAAUCAUUUCACCAGGCAGAAGGUGCCUAAUGCCUUUGAACCCCUAGAUCUGCUCUCCCCCCAGGAUAAGCAACCCAGGAAGACACUCAAAGCCAAAGACCACGAGGUUUUUUAGGAUGAAAGGUCUGGGAAGGAAACGGAGUGGAAAAAUGGCUGGGCAACUAGGCCAGCAAAUGAGGCCCUGGGUGCUUCGAGGGCACAGGGCACUGCAGAAAGACUUCUGCUCUCUCCAGAAACAUUCAGCUCCUCCGCUCCUGUCCUCACUCAGCUGAUGGCCUGACUCCCUGGGAAAUGCGAAGAGCACCCCACGAAGUCCCACACGCAUCAGAGCUCCCUGGGGCCUGUGUCCAGACCCGCCGCCUGCUCUUCUGUUACUGUGGAUGAACUCGGAGGCCAAGUCAACUCCUCUCAUUCCCCUAAACUCCUUUACUCCCUCGGUGAACGUCCUCUGUAUUUUCCUCCCUCUGUAAAUUUUCUCAAUUAUUAUCCUCUUAAACCAGAGCCGAUUCUUCUAAUAUUCUUGUAUAGAUAUGGAGGGAAAAUGUGCUAGGCCAUGGUUCAGCAGAGUAAUUAUGAAACAGUAGCCCUCAG